AGAUGGCAGGUCAUGGAGGGCAGCUGGAUGCAUGCUUGGAACCUGGUGCUGCAGAGUGAGGGCCUCCCCAGUACCCAGGACAUGAGCUCCUGUGAUGUGGCAAGCUCCUUGAAGCAUGCUCCUGGCCCUCUACUAGCUCCUGAAAUGCUCUGCCUGACCUCCCAGCCUUGAAGCUUUGUGUGGUGGUAAAUGUUACAACUAAACAGAAGAUCUGCUUUCUACGGGGAGAGACAAGCUGUUGGAUUUGUACAGUGCUUAAUUAUUCAGUCUUUUUGGUGAUAAAGGACACAGGGCCCUGAAACUUUCUGCAGAAAAUGGGAGCUUAUG
rnacentral:lncRNA from 1 species